GGCUUGGUGGCAGAGCGGUCGAUUGCAGAGACCUGCAAAGUCUCACAUAAGAAACGACGUGGGUUCAAAUCCCACCCAAGCCU
rnacentral:tRNA from 1 species